rnacentral:snRNA from 1 species
GUGCUUGCUUCGGCAGCACAUAUACUAAAAUUGGAACGAGAUUAGCAUGGCCCCUGCUCAAGGAUGACACACAAAUUCGUGAAGUAUUCCUUUUUUUU